AACGAACGCUGGCGGCAUGCCUAACACAUGCAAGUCGAACGAAGGCUUCGGCCUUUUUGGCGCACGGGUGCGUAACGCGUGGGAAUCUGCCCUUAGGUUCGGUAUCACAGUUAGAAAUGUCUGCUCAUACCGGUUGAUCACGUAAGUCCAAAGAUUUAUCGCCUGAGGAUGAGCCCUCGUAGGAUUCGCUAGUUGGUGUGGUAAUGGCGCACCAAGGCGACGAUCCUUAGCUGGUCUGAGAGGAUGAUCAGCCACACUGGGACUGAGACACGGCCCAGACUGGGACGGAAGGGAGCAGUGGGGAGUAUAGGAGAAGGGGGGCAAGCGUGAUCAAGCAAUGCCGCGUGAGAGAGGAAGGCGUUAGGGAAGUAAAGCUCUUUUAGCCGAGAAGAUAAUGACAGUAGCGGGAGAAGAAGCCCCGGCUAACUACGUG
rnacentral:rRNA from 1 species